UACGGGGGGGCGAAGCGUUGUUCGGAAUUACUGGGCGUAAAGGGUUCGUAGGUGGCUUGCUAAGUCAGACGUGAAAUCCCUCAGCUUAACUGGGGAACUGCGUCUGAGACUGGUGAGCUUGAGUGCAGGAGAGGAACGCGGAAUUCCAGGUGUAGCGGUGAAAUGCGUAGAUAUCUGGAGGAACACCGGUGGCGAAGGCGGCAUCCUGGACCGGUAUUGACGCUGAGGCGCGAAAGCCAGGGGAGCAAACGGG
rnacentral:rRNA from 1 species